rnacentral:rRNA from 1 species
CGGGGAAUAUUGGACAAUGGGCGAAAGCCUGAUCCAGCCAUGCCGCGUGUGUGAAGAAGGCCUUUUGGUUGUAAAGCACUUUAAGCGAGGAGGAGGCUACUUGGAUUAAUACUCUAGGAUAGUGGACGUUACUCGCAGAAUAAGCACCGGCUUUCUCUCUG